ensembl:misc_RNA Y_RNA Y RNA
AGCUGGUCUGAGUGCAGUGGUGUUUACAAUUAAUUCAUAGCAGCCAGUUACAGAGUCUUUGUUCUUUCUUCAUUCCGUCUGCUUCACCUGACUAGAAAA